GUGCUCACUUCAGCAGUACAUAUACUAAAAUGUAAAUGGUACAGAAAAUAUUAUCCUGGCCUCUGUGUAAGUAUGAUACACAAAUGCAUGAAGUGUUCCAGAUCUUA
ensembl:snRNA U6 U6 spliceosomal RNA